GGUCGGGUCCCGAUGGCGAGUUCCCGCUCCAAACCCCGCCAGGUCCGGAAGGAAGCAACGGUAAGGAGAUGGGAAAGCGCGCUCGGCAAACCUGGCUGGA
rnacentral:SRP_RNA from 1 species